CCCAGACUCCUACGGGAGGCAGCAGUGGGGAAUAUUGGGCAAUGGGCGCAAGCCUGACCCAGCAAUGCCGCGUGAAGGAAGAAGGCCUUCGGGUUGUAAACUUCUUUUAUCAGGGACGAAGGAUGUGACGGUACCUGAUGAAUAAGCUCCGGCUAACUACGUGCCAGCAGCCGCGGUAAUACGUAGGGAGCAAGCGUUAUCCGGAUUUACUGGGUGUAAAGGGCGCGUAGGCGGGAUGGCAAGUCUGAAGUGAAAGCCCAAGGCUCAACCAUGGGACUGCUUUGGAAACUGUUAAGCUAGAGUGCUGGAGAGGUAAGCGGAAUUCCUAGUGUAGCGGUGAAAUGCGUAGAUAUUAGGAAGAACACCAGUGGCGAAGGCGGCUUACUGGACAGUAACUGACGUUGAGGCUCGAAAGCGUGGGGAGCAAACAGGAUUAGAUACCCCCGUAC
rnacentral:rRNA from 1 species